AUUUUUAUACUAGUCCCAUGCUUUUCAUAGACCUCUUGAAAACAAAUAGGGGCUUGUGGCACCAUUCGUCCUAACAUAAUCAGUUUCCCCAAGACCAAGGUAAACAACAUGACAAAGACAGCAGAGAGGGGACCAUACGUUGGAUCAGGACUGACAAGCUGCUUUUUGUGAAAUGGAAGGACACUAGGGAAUUAACCAUGCUCACCACACAACAUGAGGUAUUCAAUAACUACCAAUGUCUCAAGGAGGGUGAAAAGUGCCAAUGGGGCAUGGGGGAGGAAGAAUGUCCCUAUUCCUGUUUCUGUGAAGGACUACAAUGCCAGCAUGGAGGGUGUUGACCUAUCUGAUGCUCUGAUAGGCUACUACCAGGUCCUCCACAAGACCAGGAAGUGGUAUAAGACUUUUUUCUUACCACUUUGUGGACAUUGCUACAGUAAAUUUUUUCAUUCUCCACAAGCAGAUGGCCAAAGCAAAAGGUCAAACCCCUCUCUCCCAGUUGGCCUUCAGAGAGCAGCUGGUGUUGGAAAUUGCUGAAUUAUGGGCCCAGAGCAACCUCACAACCAUCACAAGACCCCCCACUCAAGAGCUUGUUGGCUGCGUCACCAUCGCUGCCUGGAUUGGUCACGGGGCCCUGGAGAAGGAGUGGCCUGAGGUCAAACCCUAAAGCACCAGAGCCUGGUCAUGAUGGACCAUAAGAGAGCACUCACCAUUUCACUGGCCGUUGACAAGGUGGAUAACUCUCAAAUGGGAAGUCCACUAAAAAUUCCCAAGAUCCUUCUUUCUUCAGAGUUGAGAUGUGGGAAUGAAGAGUCACAGAUUCACUGGACCCAGAUUGCUGGAAACGGAAUCAAACUCCAAAAGUCUUGUCAGCAGAAUGGAUCCAUCUCUUUGGAUCACGGCCAAGCGGCUUUAGCCCAAGCGGCAAUGAACUGCACGCAGCUCCAGUUGGUCCUCACGGAUGUCCUGAAGACGGAACAGGGGCAGGCCUACCUAGACAGGAAGAUGCGUGGCAAGAUGACAGGAACUGGAGAGAGGAAGAGAGAGUCACCGAUGGGGAGCGGGCAAAGGAGGGUGUCUCAGAGUAGCAGAGAGGGGAGGGAGGAUUGUAGAGAUUUUAUAGCACACAGAAAGAGACCCCAUGACCACCCCACUCCCACCUCGACCCCGACCCGCAAGGAGAGGAGGUCACACCACAGAAGGGGGUCAGAGGAAGACGAGGAGGUGAAGGAACUUUUAAUAGGAGAGGAAAACAUCAAAGACCAGAGAUGCAACAGUAGUGUGUCAGGGAGGCACAGUUCACGGGAACCCCUGGAGGAGGUGACCUUUACUGAGGGGGACAUGCACCAGGAAAAGCCUUACCCACAAUCCACCAGGACUAGGAAGGCAGAUUCAGGUUCAAGCGAAUCCACACAUGUUGAGAGGGAGAGUUGGAGGAGGGAGUCUGGGCUCUACAGUAAUGGACAGGUGAAGGAUGGAGGGAUGAAUGAUGGAGUGGCAGAGGGCUUGACCACAGACGCCUCCAGGAGCUCCAGAGGGAGCGUGCUGCACCUCUCCAGGGAGGCCAGAGGCGGGGGAGGACUGCCCCCCAAACAGCUGUGUCUGGGGGGGACGGGGGGCAUAGACACUAAUGUAGCAUCCAUAGAAGUAGAGGUGGACCCCUCAAACUUUGACGGGACCCCGAUGGUAGUCACUGUGGGGGAAGACAGGGAAGUUGCCAUCUCCUCUAACCCCAGCUGUGGAGGGGUUAAUGAGAGGAGAGGAACCCUGUCCUCCAGCCAGGAUAGGACGCCCAAACUCAGUCCUGUUGAACCCAGUGAGUAUAGAGCUACGUAUAGGCUAUCAUUGUUCACUGCAUAUCUGCACUCCUGGUGUGUGUGUUUCUCCUGACUCUCUCAAUGAAACAAACACACACACAGAUCCCCACCCUUCCCUCCUCCUGGAAUAGCGUCAUCAUAAUAUAGUCUUAUUUCUCUGCCUACGGGCACUGACCCUAACAUGGUGACCAUGCCGCUCACGUUGCAAAAUAAAUGUACACAUACAUGUUAUUCAAUCAUUGCACCCACACUGCUCGCGAGCGUCUGCGUAGCCUGGCGCUAAAAUAGAACGCACCUUAAAGUUGGUUGCUGACCUCCAUAUAGUCCAAAGAAGAAGGUUAGCUAAAUUGCCAUAAAUGUUUAAUGCUUAUCGACCUGUCCCCAAAUGAAUAUAGUUGGUUCAGAUUUUUUAAACCUGCGUGUCCUGAUGGUGUCUGGUGUGGGUGGACAAUAUCAACAUGCCAGUUGUCUGGUCAGCAUGUAACUCUGAACCAACUAUAUUAAUUUGGGGACAGGUCGAAAAGCAUUAAACAUUUAUGGCAAUUUAUCCAGCUAGCUUGCUGUUUCUAGCAAAUUUGUUGUGGAAUAUAAACAUUAGGUUGUUAUUUUACCUGAAAUGCACAAGGUCCUCUACUCCGACAACUAAUCCACAGAUAAAAUGGUAAAUCGAGUUUACUAGAAACAAUCUCUCCUCCUUCAGUCUUCUUCUUCUUGGGACCUUAUAACUUUAAGGUGCGUUACCACCACCAACUGAACUGGAGUGUGGACAUCAGUUUAUCUUUCAAUCACCCACGUGGGUAUAUGCUCCUAAAAACCAAUGAGGCGAGGCGAGACCUGCAGUGCGUCACAAAUAGAACCAAGUUCUAUUUUAGUGCCAGGCUGCGCAGACGCUUGCGAGCAGUGUUUGAAUAACAUGUAUGUGUACAUUUAUUUUGCAAAGCUCGAGCCCGCGACGCGAGCGAUGUGGUCAGCAUGUCAGCCCCCUCACACACAAGCACACAUACUGUCUGUCUGUAACACGGACCGCCGGAUCUGUGCUUGUGACUGUCUGUGUCAGUAUGCCCAGUGUGUGUUGAGUGCGUUUCUGUGACUCUGCCAGUAUUGCCUUUUUAACGUUUUCAUUUGUUUGUGUACAGUACAUGUCUGUAUGGGUCUGAAAUAGCACAAGCUGUGCCUUACAACACUGGCAUUGCUAUGGUUACUCGCCCCCCCCCCCCCCAACAAUAGCAGGAUUACUGCUGUCUGCAUCUUUCCUUCACAGUGCAUUACUUACGGUCAUCGUGUGAGAGAGAUUAUAAUUAGGCUGUAUAUACACGUAUUCCACUGCAACGUGUUUAAUGGUGUGUUCUAGUCGUUCUCUCCAGUGAGAGGAGGUAGUCACCCCGUCCACAGUUCAGUCCUUUGGCCACAGACUAGUGAGUGUGAGUCCCAGAGAAACCAUGCUCAGGAAGACAACGUGGUGGAAGAGACGGACUUUCAGGUGGGGCAAAUACAACUUCUACACAGACAUCGUAAAGGACAGAAAGGGGGAUCUCGCAAUGGAG
rnacentral:lncRNA from 1 species